rnacentral:rRNA from 1 species
AGAUAUGAUCCAGAGUACCACGGGACACGUGAAACCCUGUGGGAAGCAGGAGGGACCACCCUCCAAGGCUAAAUACUACCUAGUGACCGAUAGCGUAUAGUACCGUGAGGGAAAGGUGAAAAGAACCCCGGGAGGGGAGUGAAAUAGAACCUGAAACCCUGCACUUACAAGCUGUGGAAGCACAUUUCUUGUGUGACCGCGUACUUUUUGUAGAACGGGCCAACGAGUUACGUUAAGUAGCAAGGUUAAGCACUUAAGGUGCGGAGCCGUAGCGAAAGCGAGUUUUAACUGAGCGUUCAGUUACUUGACGUAGACCCGAAACCGGGCGACCUACCCAUGAGCAGGAUGAAGCGAAAGUAAAAUUUCGUGGAGGUCCGAACCCACGAGCGUUGAAAAGCUCGGGGAUGACUUGUGGGUAGCGGUGAAAUUCCAAUCGAGCCCGGAGAUAGCUGGUUCUCCCCGAAAUAGCUUUAGGGCUAGCCUCAAGGUGAGAGAUACGGAGGUAGAGCACUGAAUGUCCUAGGGGGUAUUGCACCUACCGAAGACUAUCAAACUCCGAAUGCCGUCAUCUUAUACUUGGGAGUCAGACUGUGGGUGAUAAGAUUCAUAGUCGAAAGGGCAACAGCCCAGAUCGUCAGCUAAGGUCCCUAAAUGUAAGUUAAGUGGUAAAGGAUGUGGGAUUGCACAGACAACCAGGAUGUUGGCUUAGAAGCAGCCACUCAUUCAAAGAGUGCGUAAUAGCUCACUGGUCGAGUGAUCCUGCGCCGAAGAUUUCCGGGGCUAAAACUUACUACCGAAGCUACGGCAUCAGUAAUGAUGGGUAGGGGAGCUUCCCAUACGGGUUGAAGCAUGACCGUAAGGACAUGUGGACAGUAUGGGAGUGAGAAUGUUGGCAUGAGUAGCGAGAUGUGGGUGAGAAUCCCACAGGCCGUAAACCCAAGGUUUCCAGGGGAAGGUUCGUCCGCCCUGGGUUAGUCGGGACCUAAGCUGAGGCCGAAAGGCGUAGGUGAUGGACAACAGGUUGAUAUUCCUGUACUACCGAUAACCGUUUGAGAGAAGGGAUGACACAGUAGGAUAAGCUAAGCACACUGUUGGUUAUGUGUGCCCAAGCAUUGAGGCAGUCAAAGUAGGCAAAUCCGCUUUGAUAAUGCUGGGAUGUGAUGGGGAGCGAAAUUUAGUAGCGAAGUAGCUGAUUUCACACUGUCAAGAAAAGUCUCUAUCGAGGUUAAAGGUACCCGUACCGCAAACCGACACAGGUGGGUGAGGAGAGUAUCCUAAGGCCAGCGAGAGAACUGUUGUUAAGGAACUCGGCAAAAUGACCCCGUAACUUAGGGAUAAGGGGUGCCACCAUCAGGUGGCCGCAGAGAAUAGGCCCAAGCGACUGUUUACCAAAAACAUAGGUUUCUGCUAAGUCGCAAGACGAUGUAUAGGAGCUGACGCCUGCCCGGUGCUGGAAGGUUAAGGGGAUCUGUUAGAGCAAUCGAAGCAGUGAACUUAAGCCCCAGUAAACGGCGGCCGUAACUAUAACGGUCCUAAGGUAGCGAAAUUCCUUGUCGGGUAAGUUCCGACCCGCACGAAAGGCGUAACGAUUUGGGCACUGUCUCAACAACAGACUCGGUGAAAUUGUAAUUCCGGUGAAGAUGCCGGAUACCUGCGACAGGACGGAAAGACCCCAUGGAGCUU